AGAGUUUGAUCAUGGCUCAGAGCGAACGCUGGCGGCAGGCCUAACACAUGCAAGUCGAGCGGGCGUAGCAAUACGUCAGCGGCAGACGGGUGAGUAACGCGUGGGAACAUACCUUUUGGUUCGGAACAACACAGGGAAACUUGUGCUAAUACCGGAUAAGCCCUUACGGGGAAAGAUUUAUCGCCGAAAGAUUGGCCCGCGUCUGAUUAGCUAGUUGGUGAGGUAACGGCUCACCAAGGCGACGAUCAGUAGCUGGUCUGAGAGGAUGAUCAGCCACAUUGGGACUGAGACACGGCCCAAACUCCUACGGGAGGCAGCAGUGGGGAAUAUUGGACAAUGGGCGCAAGCCUGAUCCAGCCAUGCCGCGUGAGUGAUGAAGGCCCUAGGGUUGUAAAGCUCUUUUGUGCGGGAAGAUAAUGACGGUACCGCAAGAAUAAGCCCCGGCUAACUUCGUGCCAGCAGCCGCGGUAAUACGAAGGGGGCUAGCGUUGCUCGGAAUCACUGGGCGUAAAGGGUGCGUAGGCGGGUCUUUAAGUCAGGGGUGAAAUCCUGGAGCUCAACUCCAGAACUGCCUUUGAUACUGAGGAUCUUGAGUUCGGGAGAGGUGAGUGGAACUGCGAGUGUAGAGGUGAAAUUCGUAGAUAUUGGGAAGAACACCGGUGGCGAAGGCGGCGACCUGGUCCGAUACUGACGCUGAGGCGCGAAAGCGUGGGGAGCAAACAGGAUUAGAUACCCUAGUAGUCC
rnacentral:rRNA from 1 species